UACGUAGGGGGCAGCGUUGUCCGGAUUUAUUGGGCGUAAAGAGCGUGUAGGCGGCCAUUCAGGUCAGCUGUGAAACUCGGGCUCAACCUCGAGACGUCGGUUGAACCGUAUGGCUAGAGUCCGGAAGAGGAGAGUGGAAUUCCCGGUGUAGCGGUGAAAUGCGCCAGAUAGUCGGGAAGAACACCCGUGGCGAAGGCGGCUCU
rnacentral:rRNA from 1 species